UACGUAGGCAGCGAGCGUUGUUCGGAGUUACUGGGCGUAAAGGGUGUGUAGGCGGUUGUUUAAGUUUGGUGUGAAAUCUCCCGGCUCAACUGGGAGGGUGCGCCGAAUACUGAAUGACUAGAGUGCGGGAGAGGAAAGUGGAAUUCCUGGUGUAGCGGUGAAAUGCGUAGAUAUCAGGAGGAACACCAGUGGCGAAGGCGGCUUUCUGGACGGUAACUGACGCUGAGACGCGAAAGCGUGGGGAGCAAACAGG
rnacentral:rRNA from 1 species